CCUACGGGUGGCAGCAGUGGGGAAGAUUGCACAAUGGGGGAAACCCUGAUGCAGCGACGCCGCGUGAGUGAAGAAGUAAUUCGGUAUGUAAAGCUCUAUCAGCAGGGAAGAAAAUGACGGUACCGGAGUAAGAAGCCCCGGCUAACUACGUGCCAGCAGCCGCGGUAAGACGUAGGGGGCAAGCGUUCUCCGGAUUUACUGGGUGUACAGGGAGCGUAGACGGCCGUGCAAGUCUGGAGUGAAAGGCGGGGGCUCAACCCCCGGACGGCUCUGGAAACUGGACGGCGGGAGGGCAGGAGUGGUCAGUGGCUUUCCUCUUGUAGCGGUGCACUGCUUCGAUCUUCGGCGUCACCCCAGUGGCGACGGCGGCUUACUGGACUGUACCUGACGUUGCGGCUC
rnacentral:rRNA from 1 species